UACGGAGGGUGCAAACGUUGCUCGGAAUCAUUGGGCGUAAAGCGCACGUAGGCGGCCUGUUAAGUCGGGUGUGAAAGCCCUGGGCUCAACCCAGGAAGUGCACUCGAAACUGGCGGGCUUGAAUAUGGAAGAGGGUCGCGGAAUUCCCGGUGUAGAGGUGAAAUUCGUAGAUAUCGGGAGGAACACCAGUGGCGAAGGCGGCGACCUGGGCCAAUAUUGACGCUGAGGAGCGAAAGCGUGGGGAGCGAACAGG
rnacentral:rRNA from 1 species